rnacentral:rRNA from 1 species
UGGGGGAUAUUGCGCAAUGGGGGAAACCCUGACGCAGCAACGCCGCGUGAAGGAAGAAGGCCUUCGGGUUGUAAACUUUUGUCGCAAGGGAAGAAGACAGUGACGGUACCUUGUGAGAAAGCCACGGCUAACUACGUGCCAGCAGCCGCGGUAAUACGUAGGUGGCGAGCGUUGUCCGGAUUUACUGGGUGUAAAGGGCGCGUAGGCGGGGUAUCAAGUCAGUCGUGAAAUACCGAGGCUCAACUUCGGGGCUGCGAUUGAAACUGAUAUUCUUGAGUGUCGGAGAGGAAAGCGGAAUUCCUAGUGUAGCGGUGAAAUGCGUAGAUAUUAGGAGGAACACCAGUGGCGAAGGCGGCUUUCUGGACGAUAACUGACGCUGAGGCGCGAAAGUGUGGGGAGCAAACAGGAUUAGAUACCCUGGUAGU